UGUGUUAGAGCUCAGUGGUAGAGCACUCACCUAGAACAUGUGAAGCACUGGGUUCAAUCCUCAGCACCACAU
rnacentral:tRNA from 1 species